AUUGAACGCUGGCGGCAGGCCUAACACAUGCAAGUCGAACGAGUGGCGGACGGGUGAGUAAUGUCUGGGAAACUGCCUGAUGGAGGGGGAUAACUACUGGAAACGGUAGCUAAUACCGCAUACCAUCAGAUGUGCCCAGAUGGGAUUAGCUUGUUGGUGGGGUAACGGCUCACCAAGGCGUGGAUCCCUAGCUGGUCUGAGAGGAUGACCGGCCAAACGGGAACUGAGACACGGUCCAGACUCCUACGGGAGGAAGCAGUGGGAAAUAUUGCACAAUGAGCAAAAGCCUGAUGCAGCAAUGCCGCGUGUAUAAAGAGGGCCUUCGGGUUGUAAAGUACUUUCAGCGGGGAGGCGUUACCCGCAGAAAAAGCACCGGCUAACUCCGUGCCAGCAGCCGCGGUAAUAC
rnacentral:rRNA from 1 species